GAUGAACGCUGGCGGCGUGCUUAACACAUGCAAGUCGAACGAAGCACUCUACUUGAUUUCCUUCGGGAAUGAUUGUUUUGUGACUGAGUGGCGGACGGGUGAGUAACGCGUGGGUAACCUACCUCAUACAGGGGGAUAACAGUUGGAAACGACUGCUAAUACCGCAUAAGCGCACAGCUUCGCAUGAAGUGGUGUGAAAAACUCCGGUGGUAUGGGAUGGACCCGCGUUGGAUUAGCUUGUUGGUGGGGUAACGGCUCACCAAGGCGACGAUCCAUAGCCGACCUGAGAGGGUGAACGGCCACAUUGGGACUGAGACACGGCCCAAACUCCUACGGGAGGCAGCAGUGGGGAAUAUUGCGCAAUGGGGGAAACCCUGAUGCAGCGACGCCGCGUGAAGGAUGAAGGUCUUCGGAUCGUAAACUUUUGUCUUCAGGGACGAUAAUGACGGUACCUGAGGAGGAAGCCACGGCUAACUACGUGCCAGCAG
rnacentral:rRNA from 1 species